rnacentral:rRNA from 1 species
UACGUAGGGACCAAGCGUUGUCCGGAAUCAUUGGGCGUAAAGAGCGCGUAGGCGGCUUGUUAAGACUUGUGUGAAAUCUCUGGGCUCAACCCAGAGUCUGCAUAGGAAACUGUCGGGCUUGAGUAUGGGAGAGGUGCGUGGAAUUUCCGGUGUAGCGGUGAAAUGCGUAGAUAUCGGAAGGAACACCUGUGGCGAAAGCGGCGCACUGGACCAAAACUGACGCUGAGGCGCGAAAGCUAGGGGAGCAAACAGG